rnacentral:rRNA from 1 species
GACGUAGGGCGCGAGCGUUGUCCGGAUUUAUUGGGCGUAAAGAGCUCGUAGGCGGCUUGUCGCGUCGACUGUGAAAACCCGCGGCUCAACCGUGUGGUCUGCAGUCGAUACGGGCAGGCUAGAGUUCGGUAGGGGAGACUGGAAUUCCUGGUGUAGCGGUGAAAAUGCGCAGAUAUCAGGGAGGGAAACACCCGGGUGGGCGAA